CCAAGUAAAAGCAAGGGCUUGAUCAGAGAAAUAUACAGCAGAACACAUCUUUCUCAUCUAGCUCUGUUUCACAAGGGAACCCAAGAUGGAGUUCUCAGUAAAUGUAUUCAAUGGAAUUCUUACAAUUCACUGGGACAGAAAGUCUUCCAAGAUGCCUCCAUGGUUAGAGGGAGAAUUCUAAAAGGCUGUGUUUUAAGAAUCAGUGAUGUAAAAUGACACAGAAUUCUCCAGUGAUGUCACUGAGAGCGCUUUGUGUGAAAUGAAGACUGGGAAAAAAAAUUUUACUCUUUGAUGCAUCUUCUGCACCAGGCAUGUAAUACCAGUUCUAUUCUUCUACACCAGUGCAAAUCCAAAAUAACUCAGUAAAAGCCAUCGAGAUGCUCCAGAUUUACACAGAUGCAAAUGGGAGCAGAAUUUGGUGUGUUUUCGGAUAUUUAAGUGUGCAAGUGUUCGUCCUGAGUCAUUUUGUUUACAUUUAACUUUUGCUGUUUGGUGUACAUCAUCAUGGGAAUUCUCAUGACCCUGCACAAUAGGAAAAGAGGGUGAGAAGAAUGGGAAAUUGUGGAGAUACAUGUCCAAGGAGUAACUUCCUUGUAUACUCCUUCAAAGUACACAAAUUAAGAGGUCAAAAGUGGCCAGUUUCAAUAAUCCAGCCAAAAGAUCUUAUGCGCAUAUUGGCUGCAUGCCACAAAGCAAAGAAGUUUGCAAUAAGCUAAUAGGAAAAGAAAUAGUAAACCACUCGCACCAGUUACAAAUACCAAAGUAUUAAGUUCCUGUUUGCAGAACUAGUAUGCUAAGGAACAGCACAGCACAAUAUAGAGAUUCCACAUGUACUCCACACAGCACACAUAAGUUGCCAGAAGGGGAAUGGCCAGGAGCAAAGAAUCUUUCAGCAAAAUUGCACUGAAUGAAUCACCAAUGAAAACUAUAGAAACAGUGAGAGGAACAGCCUAGCAAAGUUCAUGCCAUGCUGAAGAGCACUAACAUGUAAUGUAUGUGCAGGGAACACAGUGGACAAUAGAAAGACAUACACACAGUGUUGGAUAUCCAGCACAUCACAAACAUAGCAGUAAUCAUUGAAAAUCGCUAAGCAGGUGGCUCAUUAUAGGGUUCAACAGAGUGGUGAUCAAAGAAAUCUCAUUGGUUCUAUAAGAUUCAUUCUGUUGUACGCAAGCACAGCAGUAGAUGCAAUGAUGUUGGGCAUAGUUGCACUACAUUUUGGUCGUUUUUUUCCUUAUUCCUUCAUGUAUCACACCUUUUCCUACUUAUGACCACUGAAAUGUUACAAUCAAUUUUUCCUUUCCUUGUUUAUUUGCUACAUCUCACCAUACUCUACACUGAUUGCCAUGGGAGAGAAAAGGAUGGACCAAAGGAAAGUGAAUUUUAUAUUUGAAACCAUUAUCUUGACUUUUGAUCUGUCCCCCUUCUAUUCUGACCAGUCACUUAACGUUAAAACUCAAAGAGCUUUGACUGUUACCCCCUUGCUCACCCCUUAAAUCUUAUUUCUAAGCCCAUUACUCCCUUAAUUAAAGUGGAGUAGUUAAAAUUGUUAUAAACAUCUUCUUUAGGAUUAUGCUCUAAAUCACAAUUUUAAAAUGAAUAGAAUGGUUGAUAAUCUAUACUCAUGACAUAAUCAGGAAUAAAAAAUAAUCCCAUAAAAGCUGUUUAAUAACAAUUUAAACUACUGAGCACUUUAAUUAAGGUUGUUAGAGGAUUAGAAACUAGAUAUAAAGGUGGGCAAGGGGUAAAUUUGAAGUAUUGUAAUCAUCAUUUUUUAAAACAGGAUACUACAGUUGAAUUUUCUGUAAAGUAAAUUGACAAAAAACAUUUCCUCAAAAAAUUAUAUUGUGUAUGAGAGAGAAAGAGAGGGAGGUUUAUUCCUUGCAGAUUCUUUGAGUCCCAAUCUUUACCUUACAUGGAGUCAAAAUAAGCAAAAUGUGGCCCAGUGAUUAGAUGUUUUAGACUCCCUUGUCACAAGUAAAAGGGCGACUACAGUCCAAGUGCAGAAUGUCCACUGAGGUCAGUGUGCAUGGACUGAAGGUACAUGACUCUUAAAAUAAUGUUAGCAAAGUCAACUACUUAAAAGCUAUGUCGUCAUAGCAGAUUCUGCUCAGAGAAUAGCAGGAAGGAAUUACAUCGCACGCUGUUAAAACGUUAGCAACCACAUUUCAUUUUUGAAAAGGCAAUUUAUUUGUCCUGAAAUAAAGAGUUGAUUAUAUCUCUUAUUACUGUUACAAGAACUUGAUAUAUCACAAAGUGGAAGAGUUACAACAUGUACCAACUAUCAACCAGGAAAAAUGAACCUGGUUCAUAAUUCACUUUGUGAAUGUCUAGUUAGUCAAUCAAGUGAUUUGUAAUCAUAAAGGCUGCCAGGAAUUGAAUGAAUAAUGGACCAUACUAAAAUCCUUGGAUUUUCUCGUAUUCUUAUUUCAUUAUGUGACUUUUAUUGCCAUUUCUGAUAGUUGUCUCUCUUUCAGCAGAACAAAUUAAGAUACGCAUAUUUACUUGAAGGACUAUGUUUGACUGUUUAAUGUGAAUAAUGAAUAUACAAAUGGAGUGACCAUUGUAUGUAACAACCACACGCUAGAUUUUUCUCUACGGAAGCCAAACCUUUUAUGAUGUAAAGCUUGGGUAGAAACAAUCUUUCUCUCUUUCCCUCUGUUUUUCCUCCUGAAAGCAUUUUUGGGGUAAUCAAUCUUAGCAUAGAUCAUAUUGUUACAGUACAUUUUCUCGAGUUGUUUUAUAACUAUAGAAAUGACAUAAUUCACAUAGCAUAGUAUCUGUUUAACAGCAACAUCUUCACCCUCUUUCCCUAGCUAAAAAUGGUAUUACACUAUAAUCUGAUAGACAAAUAACAUGUGACUUCUAAAUGCAGAUUUUUACUAGUAAUCAGAUAUAAAUAUAAACAAGGAAACAUAAAACCACUCUGAAUCUAUUUGUGCAGAAGUUAUAGUUUGAAACAUUUGUGUUGUUCUAAUGUAAAAAUGUAGAAUUUAAGUUCACUGGGUUAUUCUUCAUAGAUUUUCCUUUAAGAACAAGAUGUUUAAACCAGACAGCUGACAUUACACAGGAAGACUUGGUCUGUGCCCUGUUUAUUAUAUAUUACUUUGGCAAACAGAAAUUCUACCUUGUAGUUUGUGCCCUGACUCAUUUUCAUUAGCAUUUAUCCUUUGAUUUUCUUAUUAUAAUUUUUUAAGGUAUGCUAAUGUUUGAACUGAACAAAAUUGUGAUCUCAGAGUGAUCAGAACACACACAAUAUAAAAUAUUUUAUUACUGGCAUCCUCCUAGCGUAUGGAGUGUGUCUGUUCUAGGCUCCUGCUACUUGUUCUUUUGUGAGUGUGUAUAUCUACAUGUAAUUUGAUUGCUUCAAAUAAAAGUAGAUUAUUUUUAAAUAA